CGAAAGCCUGACGGAGCAACGCCGCGUGAGGGAUGGAGGCCUUUGGGCUGUAAACCUCUUUUCUCAAGGAAGAAGAUCUGACGGUACUUGAGGAAUAAGCCACGGCUAAUUCCGUACCAGCAGCCGCGGUAAUACGGGAGUGGCAAGCGUUAUCCGGGAUUAUUGGGCGUAAAGCGUCCGCAGGCGGCCGUUUAAGUCUGUUGUUAAAUCGUGGAGCUCAACUCCAUCACGGCAAUGGAAACUGUUCGGCUUGAGUAUGGUAGGGGCAGAGGGAAUUUCCGGUGUAGCGGUGAAAUGCGUAGAUAUCGGGAAGAACACCAGUGGCGAAAGCGCUCUGCUGGGCCAUUACUGACGCUCAUGGACGAAAGCCAGGGGAGCGAAAGGGAUUAGAUACCCCUGUAGUCCUGGCCGUAAACGAUGAACACUAGAUGUUGGGGGAAUCGACCCCCUCGGUGUCGUAGCUAACGCGUUAAGUGUUCCGCCUGGGGAGUACGCACGCAAGUGUGAAACUCAAAGGAAUUGACGGGGGCCCGCACAAGCGGUGGAGUAUGUGGUUUAAUUCGAUGCAACGCGAAGAACCUUACCAAGGCUUGACAUCCUGCGAAUCUCUAAGAAAUUAGAGAGUGCCUUCGGGAACGCAGUGACAGGUGGUGCAUGGCUGUCGUCAGCUCGUGUCGUGAGAUGUUGGGUUAAGUCCCGCAACGAGCGCAACCCACGUUUUUAGUUGCCAGCAUUCAGUUGGGCACUCUAGAAAGACUGCCGGUGACAAACCGGAGGAAGGUGUGGACGACGUCAAGUCAUCAUGCCCCUUACGCCUUGGGCUACACACGUACUACAAUGCUGCGGACAAAGAGUAGCGAUCUUGCGAAAGUUAGCUAAUCUCAUAAACCGUGGCUCAGUUCAGAUCGUAGGCUGCAACUCGCCUACGUGAAGGAGGAAUCGCUAGUAAUCGCAGGUCAGCAUACUGCGGUGAAUACGUUCCCGGGCCUUGUACACACCGCCCGUCACACCAUGGAAGUUGGCCAUGCCCGAAGUCGUUACUCUAACCUUUUGGAAGAGGGCGCCGAAGGCAGGGCUAAUGACUGGGGUGAAGUCGUAACAAGGUAGCCGUAGCGGAAGCUGCGGCUGGAUCACCUCCUAA
rnacentral:rRNA from 1 species